UUUAUUCAGCGUCUUAGGUACUGGAAUCAUUUCAAAUCGUUAGUCUUACUUUCUCGCCUUUGGCAGCAACACAUAAGUUUUUCUAAAUUUCAACUUCGAAAUGUUUAUCGGUCCGGUUCAAAAAGAGCACUUGCACAUGAUGAUCCUUGGCUGUGGUUGGCCUUGUGGAUCGUUGAGCGGACCCUGUGAUGGCUGCUGUGGAGGUUGCGGUGGCUGUGGUGGUUGUGGCGGCUGCUGUUAAGGCUUUUACAUAAUUCUGAAAUUUCUUAGAACACCUUUCAUGCAAUUGGAUCGCGACCGAAAACAAUAGCAACCAUUUUUAUUACCAGAAAUUUUUAAAUUCCUCAGAACAAUGCUAAAAAUAAAUAUGUUAAAGUAAGACAAAAAUAAAA